UACGAAGGGGGCUAGCGUUGUUCGGAAUCACUGGGCGUAAAGCGCGCGUAGGCGGAUUGUUAAGUCGGGGGUGAAAUCCCGAGGCUCAACCUCGGAACUGCCUUCGAUACUGGUAAUCUUGAGUCCGGGAGAGGUGAGUGGAACUCCUAGUGUAGAGGUGAAAUUCGUAGAUAUUAGGAAGAACACCAGUGGCGAAGGCGGCUCACUGGCCCGGAACUGACGCUGAUGUGCGAAAGCGUGGGGGGCAAACAGG
rnacentral:rRNA from 1 species